UCUACGGGGUGCAGCAGUGGGGAAUAUUGGACAAUGGGCGAAAGCCUGAUCCAGCCAUGCCGCGUGUGUGAAGAAGGCCUUCGGGUUGUAAAGCACUUUCAGUGGGGAAGAAAGCCUUGGGGCUAAUACCCUCGAGGAAGGACAUCACCCACAGAAGAAGCACCGGCUAACUCCGUGCCAGCAGCCGCGGUAAUACGGAGGGUGCGAGCGUUAAUCGGAAUUACUGGGCGUAAAGCGCGCGUAGGCGGUCUGAUAAGCCGGUUGUGAAAGCCCCGGGCUCAACCUGGGAACGGCAUCCGGAACUGUCAGGCUAGAGUGCAGGAGAGGAAGGUAGAAUUCCCGGUGUAGCGGUGAAAUGCGUAGAGAUCGGGAGGAAUACCAGUGGCGAAGGCGGCCUUCUGGACUGACACUGACGCUGAGGUGCGAAAGCGUGGGUAGCAAACAGGAUUAGAUACCCUUGUAGUC
rnacentral:rRNA from 1 species